CCAGACUCCUACGGGAGGCAGCAGUGAGGAAUAUUGGUCAAUGGGCUAAGGCCUGAACCAGCCAAGUCGCGUGAGGGAAGACGGUCCUAUGGAUUGUAAACCUCUUUUGUCGGGGAGCAACGAGGCCACGUGUGGCCGAAGUGAGAGUACCCGAAGAAAAAGCAUCGGCUAACUCCGUGCCAGCAGCCGCGGUAAUACGGAGGAUGCGAGCGUUAUCCGGAUUUAUUGGGUUUAAAGGGUGCGUAGGCGGAACAUUAAGUCAGCGGUAAAAUCGAGGGGCUCAACCCCUUUAAGCCGUUGAAACUGGUGAUCUUGAGUGGGCGAGAAGUAUGCGGAAUGCGUGGUGUAGCGGUGAAAUGCAUAGAUAUCACGCAGAACUCCGAUUGCGAAGGCAGCAUACCGGCGCCCGACUGACGCUGAGGCACGAAAGCGUGGGGAUCGAACAGGAUUAGAUACCCGAGUA
rnacentral:rRNA from 1 species